rnacentral:rRNA from 1 species
CGUGUAGGCGGCCAGACAGGUCCGUUGUGAAAACUAGAGGCUUAACCUCUAGACGUCGAUGGAAACCGUCUGGCUAGAGUCCGGAAGAGGAGAAUGGAAUUCCUGGUGUAGCGGUGAAAUGCGCAGAUAUCAGGAAGAACACCCGUGGCUAAGGCGGUUCUCUAGUACGGUACUGACGCUGAGACGCGAAAGCGUGGGGAGCGAACA